rnacentral:rRNA from 1 species
UACGUAGGGUGCGAGCGUUAAUCGGAAUUACUGGGCGUAAAGCGUGCGCAGGCGGUUUUGUAAGCCCGAUGUGAAAGCCCCGGGCUUAACCUGGGAAUGGCAUUUGGGACUGCAAGGCUUGAGUGUGGCAGAGGAGACUGGAAUUCCUGGUGUAGCAGUGAAAUGCGUAGAUAUCAGGAGGAAUACCGAUGGCGAAGGCAGGUCUCUGGGCUAACACUGACGCUCAUGCACGAAAGCGUGGGGAGCAAACAGG